rnacentral:tRNA from 1 species
UACACUUUAGUUUAUGAUGAACAAAGGCUUUUGAUGCUUUAGGAAGCAGUUUGAUUCUGCUAAGUGUAA